rnacentral:lncRNA from 1 species
UACUAAAUAAUAUUGAUGAUAGUAAUUAAUGGUUGACUUGAGUGAUGGAUAGUGAUGGAGAGGGUGAUAAUAAGAAAUGACUUGUUUGGGAAGAUGAUAUUUUGACAUGGGGGUAAUGUGGUUAGAGCUGCUAGGGUUAAUGAGCCUGGCCAUCAUACACGGUUUACACUAUCAAUGAAAGGCCUUGAAAAUGGAAAAAGAAUUGAAAAGCGAAAGAAAAUAGAAAAAGGAAAGGGAAUUAAUAAAAGAAAAGGAUAAGUUGUCGUCAUCUCGACUGUCUUUAUCCAUUGAUGAAGAGCCAGAAUGGGUUGACUUUGAGGAUACAGAAGAAGAAGAGGAUAUUGGAGAUGAAAAAUCUAAAGAAGAAGAAGAAGAAGAAGAAGAAGAUUAUGGUGAUGCAAACGAUGAGGAUGAGGAUUAGGAUGAGAAUAAUACUUGAAGAACAACCAAAUGAGAACAUUGGCAUCACAAUCACUUUUAAGUUUUAAGUUGAAAGUUGGAUAUAUAUAUAU